GAUGAACGCUGGCGGCGGGCCUAACACAUGCAAGUCGAGCGAAAAGACAAUAAGCUCUUGCCCUUGACGGUAGCGACUGACGGGCGGGUAACACGUGGAUAACCAACCUAUAUGACGGGGGGGAUAACGUGGAACCGGUGCCAAUACUGGCGCAUACGAUGUACCGCAGGGAUCAAUAGUGAAACACGGUUUGCCUGACUGUAAGAGACGGUGUCGCAUUAGCUAGUUGGCGGGGUAACGGCACACCAAGGCAACGAUCCGUAGCUGGCCUGAGAGGAUGAUCAGCCACACUGGAACUGAGACACGGUCCAGACUCCUACGGGAGGCAGCAGUGGGGAAUAUUGGACAAUGGGCGCAAGCCUGACCGAGCCACACCGCGUGAGUGAAGAAGGCCUUCGGGUUGUAAAGCCCUUUUGUUGGGAAAGAAAAGCAGCAGGUUAAUACCCCGCCGUUCUGACGGUACCCAAAGAAUAAGCACCGGCUAACUUCGUG
rnacentral:rRNA from 1 species